GACGAAGGGGGGCUAGCGUUGUUCGGAAUUACUGGGCGUAAAGCGCGUGUAGGCGGUUUUCCAAGUUGGGUGUGAAAGCCUUGGGCUUAACCCAAGAAAUGCACUCAGUACUGGAAGACUAGAGGACCGGAGAGGAUAGUGGAAUUCCCAGUGUAGUGGUGAAAUACGUAGAGAUUGGGAAGAACACCAGUGGCGAAGGCGGCUAUCUGGACGGUUUCUGACGCUAAGACGCGAAAGCGUGGGGAGCAAACAGG
rnacentral:rRNA from 1 species